AGGAUGGAGAGCAGCCUCGGCAGCUUGACUGUCCUCAUGGUUAGACACUGGCUGAACCUCUCUCCAGUUUUAAUGCCCCGUGAUCUCCGGCCAUGCACCCUGUGAGGAGCCUGGCCCCAUCCUUUCGAUGCCCUGUGUGUGUCAUGCUCCCGCAGUUCCUGCUGGCCCAUCUCUCCCCCUGCUGCAGGACACAGCCCUGCCGGCCUGGAUCGACCAGGCCCCCCACUCUGGGGCUGCCUGCAGACUGUCUGAGCGUGGACCAUGAUCAGGGGCCCUCCUGCCCUGUGCUUUUCUCUCUCACAGCUCUGCACUCUUAAGAAGUGCCUGGCAGUAAAGCCAGUGCCCAGAGCCAGCAGGACCCCCUCAGCGUUCAUGAGCAAUGCCAUCGCUGGCCUGGCAGCCCGACUCCAGAGCUCUGCUCCCUGUCACUCGCUGCUCCAAGGCCACUGUCGAGCUGCAAUAUUUCACAUGGCUUUUUUUUUUCCCCCCAUGCACACGAAGCAGAGAUGGGCUCAGGUGUGAAACCUCUGCAGAGCAGCAGAGCCCUGAGCACGGCCCGUCAGGCCCUGCCAGGCCCGUCGCCAUUUCACGAGCGAGCCGUGGGGAAGCAGGAAGCCCAGGUACAAGACAAAGAACAAAAGUCCCAGGGGAACGUCACCAGCGUAGUCAUCUCCACACAUGCAAAGGUCCCUUCUGCCUUUUUUUUUUUUCCCCUUUGAAAUUUCAAAUUCCAGUUUGUGGACAAAGUCCUGCCUAUCUGAGAAUAUAGAUCUCCGACCACUGACCAAACUCCACUUCAAGCAGUCCCGAGGACUGCUCUUCCCCUUGCCCACGGAUGUGUCUGCUCAGUCCUUGGAUUUCCUAGGAUCACACUGAAAAUUUUGCACUGGAGCACAGCACUGGUACUUGCACAAAGUGGAUUUUGCACGUAAUGUCAGCAGCUUCCUUUCUGGGAAGAACCUUGGGAAUAACCAGGGGUGUGCGGAGUGCCUGAGUAACCUGUUGUGUCCCCAAUGUCCUCAAUCACCAGAGCACAGCAAGGGGUGAGUGAGAACCAGACAACACUCAGGAGCUCCACGUCCACAGCAGCUGCACGCCCCCCACACACCCUCCUGUGUGACACAACCCUCUUGUCCACUGCCAGAGAAACAAAAACACAGCAGAAAGCAAGGUAUGGGAACAUGGGAACACAGCAAGGGCAGGGGAUCACACGUCCCUACAGUUCCAGAAACCCACGGCCAGGACACUGCAGGGACAACUGCCUGGCUUCCAGCUAACAAACAUGGGAACUGCUGAUCCGCCUGAAGUGUGGUCUGGCAAGCGUGGCCCUGUUUGUAAUGGAGGAGGAAGAUCGUGUGAGGGAAUAGAGCGGCACUUCACUAGGGUUUCACAGGCACUGAGUGACUGAACUGCUGAAAGGGAGACCUGGGCACCUCUGAAUUCAGCCUUGGGCUGCAUGCCUGUGACCCAACUAGGGCCAGGUCUCAUCAGCCUCUGUGUCCAGAAGAACCAACUCAGGGACAAACCCAUCUGAAACACCCAUUUUCCUUCCUCCUUGGAUGACUCUUCAUGCCAAGCCCACCUCUGCUUUUGCUGUGCCAAGGAGAAGAGAGCUCAUUCCUGCCCUCCAGAUAUCACGCCUCAAGCACCACCUCAAAGGCACUAGUCUAAUGGAGCAAAAGCAUUCCUAAACCAUUCCUGUCCUGUCUCCACAAGCUUCUGCUUCCACUCAGGCCUGCCUGAGGCAUAUUUGAGUUAAUUUGGAGUGCCCAUAGUCAGCAGCUUCCAGAAUGCUCCUGGUGGGUCAGGAAUGGGGAGUGAGCAGCAGCUCUGUCCCUCAGUUCUGUGCCCAGGGAGGGGUGUUGGCAACAGGGGCUGAUGCCCAACAUUCCCACGUGGAGCAGGGAGCAGCACCAAGGGCAGGGCUGGGACUGAACUGUGUGUAACCCCAUGACACCUCCCUGCACCCCUGUGUUGCCACACAGGUUUUAGUGGCUGUAACAGGGAAACACACCCAAGUCAACCGACAUUUCUCCCAGACAAGGGCAGUCUGCAGGCACACACCCACGGAUGAGCCACAGGCAGUGCUGGGCUCUGCUUCCACCACCUUGGUCCCACCACCUUGGUGGCAGCAGGGCUGUGGAUCCAAAGCCUGGCUGCUUGUCCCCUUGUCCCUCCUGCCUCCUUAUUCCACUCUUCGUUUUCUGUUGCUACCUUUGGCCUGCCAACAACGAAACUCUGCAUGAGCUGCGUGAGCUGCUCCCUCAGGCAUCCAUCAGUGCUUUGUCCUUUCUUCACUGCUGGGCCACCUCCACCUGAGUGUGCCUGUCCCUGGCACAGGACCUGCUCAAGCAGCAGCCUCUUACCAUGGGGUACCAAGGCUUUGGGGACUGUGUGGCAAAAUGAUCAGCAUCCCUUGGGAGCAGAGGAGGAGAGAAGUGGCUGAGUGGGCCCAGCAGGAGGAGCUGGGCUCUGUCUCCAUGAAGGGCACUGGGCCAUAAACCCAGCACGGUGGCUGUCGUUUGUGUGUCAGCAAACACGUUGAGUGAGCUUCACUGUUGAUUCUGACCAUAUAAACCAGUGUUGUGGCACUUGUUCAGGUUUGUGCAGGUUUUACAGCUCUUGUUCUGAGAAGUACCCAUGUAUUUGGUUUUGCUCCUUCCUUCAGGUCUAUCUGUUGACAUUGGCUCUCCUAACCAGAGCGUUAGGCCAUGCCAGGAAGCUGGGUGUGCGUCUCUCCUUGUGUUUCCCACUUUCCCAGGAGUUAUCACCUAUAAAAUCUCACACACACCCAUGGCUGGGACUGGUUUCUGGUGCAGAGGCAGGUGAAAGGUGUCUGCUGGUCCCCACCACUGGUUGGUGGGUUUGGGUUCCCUGUGCUCAGUGACAGGAGAUGAGCCACCCACCCUGAGAGAUGGAUGAGCAAAGCUGCAGGGAAGGUCCUGCCCUGGAAUUCUGGAGUGGAGUGAGCAAGGCCUGGGUUCUGUAGGGCUGUGAUGAAAAUCAGGCUGUCAAACCAACUUGGAUGUGCAGAGAAAGAGAAGAUGCUCCCAGAGCACCAUCCCAGAGGAUAUGGGCUAUUGCUGGUCACCUACGAUGGAGGCACACACUGUCACCCAUUCCUACCUCCAAUCCUCUUCCCAGCAGGAGCUGCCAGCAGCAGUUGUGCCCUCAGGGACAGCUUGGUGCUGGAGGCUCAGAGGGCUUGAGCUCACAGUGAUGGUCCCCAUCUGUCUCUGAGCACCAGAGCUCCAUUACCUUGGGGAUGCCACUGGAAUCCCUCUGAUGACUUCAGGAUUUUGAGAUAGAAAAUCUGGUCCAGCCUCGCAGAGCCAGAGUCUAUUUGCUCCUUGACAGCUGGUGCAUUUUCACAGCCACUUGCUCUGCCUGAUCUACUCCUCCCAUCCCUUUGGUGCAGCAUCCUGAGCCUACCUUUAUUUUUUGAGACAUGUAUUUCCUGAAGGGAUUUGCUGAGUAAUCUCUGUUGAUGCUCAGGCUGAAGCUUGGACAGAAGCUGUUCCUGGGAGGAAUUGCUUCUGGGACCCAGCUUUGCUCGGUGGCCCCGGUGCCUCUGCCCAGGUUCACCCCACAACCCCUACCUUGAAAUUCGCCUUCCGUGAAAAUUCUGCAACAUUUGCCAUUUCCACAUACAUUUCUGCCAGGAACCUUGUUUGCUUGAAUAUUUGAGGAAAGCAAACAGAGAAGGAGCCUGAACACAAACAGUCAUGGAUAUUUUUUCGCUGUCUUUGCCCUGUUCUAACCCCAAGCCUGCUGGCAAAGAUACUUGCAGGCAUCCCCUGAUGUACCCCUUGGCUCUGCCCUGUGUGCUGUCCUGUGCCCCACUCCUGGCCCUGGUCCUGCUCCAAAUACUGCUGUAUGUAAAAGAAACUCACUCAGCCCUCGCUGUCUGUGGGACCACCAUCACUCACCACCCCUUUGCACUCAUGCUAAAUAAAUAUUUUUUAAUGCCAUUUGAGAAAUGUCAGCAGAUGACUAACAGAGUAUGACUGGCAGACCUACAUCUGCCCUGCUGAGCUCAGAACAUUUCUCAGGCACUUCCUGAGCCUCUUGCUGCUCACCUUCCAGAGCUGGAGCUCAUUUCCUGCUGACAGCAGCCCUCUGGGCUCAGUCCCCCUAUAAAAAUACCAUUGUGUUUCAAGCAAAGCCGAAGUUGAGGGUGUGCUGCUGGCCCCAUAAAUGGCUGGAAUGAGGUGGGAGAAGUCACAGCCCUGUGGGUAAGUGCAGACACCCUGUGACACUGUGCAGCAUCCCCAGCUCUUCCCCAAGGAAACCUUCACCAAGCACCAGCAAACAGCUCUUGGGAGCAGGCCAAGGUGCUAACACAGUGAUUGUCCCUUUUUCAUCCCAGCAAAUACCUGUGCUUAUUCCUGGCUGCACCAAUACCCUGCUCAGGCACUGGAAAGUGCUGACCUUGCCAGCAUCAGUGUUACAGCCACCCCAACAUGCAGCAGGGGUGGCCAGAGUGGGGACAAGGAAGAGGGCUGUUCCAGGUGUCCUAAAGACCCAUCGGUUCCUGAUGGCUGCCAGGCCUUGGACACAGAGACCAAGGACUAAACAGAGGAAUUAAAGAGCAGAUGAUGUGAGCAGUUGAGGAGGAAAAGCUCAGUUCAGGUCAUAUCUAGAGGAAACCUGUAAAAAAUUCAGUGCAUCUAGCAGUGAAAAUUAAAAGUCCUCAGAAAAUUGGCUCCCUCUUAUGUUUCUCAGUUGAAACUAUUGCCCACAUCUGACCAGAGCUCCUGAGCAGCAGUGACGUCUGGCAUUUUUCAGCUGUUUUCCAAAGCUGCUUUACUGAUCAGCGCCAGCCCUGAUCAAGCACUGGUCCCUGCUGUAACCACCAGCCCUGGGCAUCCCUGGCGCUGAGGAGAUCCAAAAUAUGAAGGGGUGGUGCUGCCUGCACUGGGAUUGAGAGCAAUUGCCCAAACCAUGCCCAAGUCUCAGUGGGAGGAUAAAGGUGGAUCAAGGGGCUCAUCCCUUCCUUGCUGCCCAGAAGGAGAUGUUCCCCUUGCCCCCUCUCCAUCCUUCACCUUCUCACACAUCUAUUUGCAACUUCCUGCAGGGAUUUAGCACCAGUGGAGCCCUUCCCAGCUCACAGCCUGUCCUCUGCAGGUGCUGGUGAGGAUUGUGAAUGUGCCUCCAGCUCCACAUCUCUCCAGAGCUGCAGCAUCACUCCCUUCUCCCCCAGGGACCCACCCAGGGUGCUGGGGGCAGGCCAGCUUUGCCACUGCCUGGCAGGGCAUCCUCUGAGUCCUUUACACAAGGCACAGGUCUGAUGGGAGGGAAAUAAGUACCCCCAAGGGG